ACGGGAGGCAGCAGUGGGGAAUAUUGGGCAAUGGGCGCAAGCCUGACCCAGCAACGCCGCGUGAAGGAAGAAGGCUUUCGGGUUGUAAACUUCUUUUAAGAGGGAAGAGCAGAAGACUGUACCUCUAGAAUAAGCCACGGCUAACUACGUGCCAGCAGCCGCGGUAAUACGUAGGUGGCAAGCGUUGUCCGGAUUUACUGGGUGUAAAGGGCGUGCAGCCGGGAAUGCAAGUCAGAUGUGAAAUCCAUGGGCUUAACCCAUGAACUGCAUUUGAAACUGUAUUUCUUGAGUACUGGAGAGGCAAUCGGAAUUCCUAGUGUAGCGGUGAAAUGCGUAGAUAUUAGGAGGAACACCAGUGGCGAAGGCGGAUUGCUGGACAGCAACUGACGGUGAGGCGCGAAAGUGUGGGGAGCAAACAGGAUUAGAUACCCUGGUA
rnacentral:rRNA from 1 species